AAGUCGUAACAAGGUUUCCGUAGGUGAACCUGCGGAAGGAUCAUUGAUAAAUCUAAAACAAAUGCAGUAUAAAGGGUGUUGAGAGAUAUUCUUUAUAUGCAUUUAAAACUACACCUGUGCAUCGGCGAUUAUAUGUAAAAGUAUAGUCGUUUCCAUAUAGUUGGCUAGUUUAAACUUUAUAUAUAAUAGUGUAUAAGAUGUGUGUAAAAGCAUGUUUUAAUUACUAUUUUUUGUUUAACUUAUAUGCCCUCUAUAUAAAUUCAUGUCUGAUUCAAAUUGACUGAUUAUAAAAAGUAUUAAAAAUACAACUUUUAGCAAUGGAUCUCUUGGCUUUU
rnacentral:misc_RNA from 1 species